rnacentral:ncRNA from 1 species
AAAAUAUGGCCAAGGCUCAUAUAUGCCCGAUAAUACGGUUCGGGCGUCUCUACAUCGGUCCCGUAAAGACCGGUACUAUGGGUGUUUC